GUUGAGCAAUCACUGAUGUCUCUGGAAACACAUGGCUGACAACCAAUGGAGUCAGGAUUUGAACCCAGCAGUCAGCAGCUUUCCCCAACUCCUGACAGGCCCUGCUCUACAACCUGACAAAGCAGCUCCCACAACCUGCCGUAGAGUGUGCUGACCGAGAUACAAGCGGAGAUCCAGGACACUGGGGCUCAUGAUCCUAGCCCCUUCCCUUCCCGAGGAGACUGCUAAGCCCAUCAACAGUCUCUCGGUCCCCUCAUCUACAACAUCCAAAUGGGCUGGCAUUAGAUGAGGCCCUGAUUGUUGCUUACACAAGUUCUGCUGGGCCGUGAGGCCACCACAGACCCCACAUGUGACCCAAUCUGUACAAGAAAAGCUGGACAAGUGUACGAGGGAAGUCCUUCAAAAGCUGCUGAAUACCCAGCUCCAAUGGCGGUCACCGGGGAGAGAUCCAAGUUCAAGUCCAGUGCAGUGACUGAAGUCCCCUCCAUGUAAGGGAACCAGAGUGCUGUCAUGGCCGCAGUGCUAGACCAAGACUGUGAGCAGACUGGCUUCCCUUCACCGGCCCAUGAACUCAGAGAACAGGUGACCCACCCACUUCCUCUUGGGAGACCAGCCGAGAACAGUGAGGCUUGAAGAACAUUUUAAUCCCAGCCCCAAAGAGAAAAUGACUACAAGCUCUGGAAUGCAGAGCCUGCUGCUUCCUGCAGGGCCUUCUGAAUGAAACACACGUAACCCACAGAGGCAGUGAGACAAGAGGCUACGGAGAGAUGCCACCCGGACUCCAAGCAGGCCGAUGAGCACAGCAAGCAAGCUCUUGACUUGGGCCUAAGCCCCAGUGCUCUGUUAGCCACCCUUCUCGCUCAGCUUCGAGGAACCAAACCCAGACACCAAGCACAUACAGAUUACUGUUGCUCCCUGUUCCCAGCACCUGAGUGGGUGGGGAAGAGGAGAAGACAUCCCCCACAUACCAUCCUCAAAGAGCACUGCAGAUCCCCCUCUCUGUUACCCCCAGAGCAGGUCACCAUGCUGCAACUCAGCUAGCUCACACCAUUUCAAGCAAAACACCAACGUGCUUCGACUGUCUCCGGGAAAAGUGGAGAUACACACUGGUCUUGAUGGUUCAGCUCCGUGACCUUGUUAGGUGCGUGCCCCAUCUGCAUAAGCACAGAAAGUCCCCUGGGGCCUCCUCUUACGGGCAUCUCCAUCCCUUUGAGUAACCACACGUACAGAUCUCUCUUGUGGUCAGUCAGUUAGCUUUGCCUGGCUUUGAACGCUACUCUCACGGGAUUGUGAGUAGUACGUGUAUGUGUUCCCGUGCCUGACUCCUGCUGCUGCCUACCUCAGACCUGCCUCUGGGCUUUCCAUGACCUGAGUGAGGAUCCUGCCUCCGCAUGGGACUUUGCCUCCCGUUCACCUUGACUUCCUUCUAGGACUGCAGCCACAACAUCCCCAGGUCCCUGCCUGUGCCUGAGUUCCUGUCGCAUAUCCUUGGCACGAAUCUUAAGGCCCCUGUCCUCACUCAGGAGGCCUUCCCAGUCUCCUCUCUCUGUGGAUUCCUCCAGGAGAAGAAUUAGACUCCCCAUGCUUCAAAGGUGUCACUGGGACAGCCCUCCUGCGCACUUUCUGCUGGGUAAUUUGAAGACUCCCAGCGUGAUUAUCCUAACAGAAGCCACCGGAAGAUAUACGAGCUUUUCCAUGAAGUCACUGUGUCAGAAGUCACUAUGUCACUUGCUACAUUUAGAGAACUUCUGGUGUACCCACAUCCCCAUCCAAGUAGAAAAAAGAGAAC
rnacentral:lncRNA from 1 species